UUUCCCCCAUUAUUUCCUUUCUCUUAUUUUUCUUUCAUCACUCUCUCUUCUCCCUCCCCCAAGCCGCCGGCGCCGCCCAUCGCCGCCGCCAGAAAUCUCCAACGGCGGCAGCCGACCUCAAAUCCGACCCAAAAUUUUACUAUGUAAUCUCCACCACCUCCUCUUUCCAUAUCUUCAAACCAAAUCCUUCAGAAAACUCUCAAACUCCUUGAAUCUU
rnacentral:lncRNA from 1 species